GCUCAGUAAUGGUAGGAACUGUGCUCUAGUGUUCAUUCAGUAGUGGCUGGAAGCAUGUUGCCAUUGCCAAUGGGAUAGCUUCAGACAGCCUGUUCUAAAAUGCAAGCACACUAGUGGCAGAAUGUAUGCUCCAGAUUGCAAGCUAAGUAGUUUCAGUACUUCUAUGCUAGAGCUCAGACACAGUAGUGAUGUAUGCAGGCUGCAAACUGCCAUCCUACUAUUUGUG
rnacentral:sRNA from 1 species